CCUACGGGAGGCAGCAGUAGGGAAUAUUGCUCAAUGGGGGAAACCCUGAAGCAGCAACGCCGCGUGGAGGAUGAAGGUUUUCGGAUUGUAAACUCCUUUUGGUAGAGAAGAGAAGGACGGUAGCUAACGAAUAAGCACCGGCUAACUCCGGGCCAGCAGCCGCGGUAAUACGGAGGGGGCAAGCGUUACUCGGAACCACUGGGCGUAAAGAGCGCGUAGGCGGGAUAGCAAGUCAGAUGUGAAAUCCUAUGGCUUAACCAUAGAACUGCAUUUGAAACUGUUAUUCUAGAGUAUGGGAGAGGUAGGUGGAAUUCUUGUUGUAGGGGUCAAAUCCGUAGAGAUCAAGAGGAAUACUCAUUGC
rnacentral:rRNA from 1 species